rnacentral:miRNA from 1 species
UGUGUGUGUGUGUUUGUGUGUGUGUAUGUGUGUGUGUGUGCGCACACACACACACACACACACACAAU